AGUGAACGCUGGCGGUAGGCCUAACACAUGCAAGUCGAACGGCAGCACAGUAAUAGCUUGCUCUUACGGGGUGCGAGUGGCGGACGGGUGAGGAAUACAUCGUAAUCUACUUUUUCGUGGGGGAUAACGUAGGGAAACUUACUCUAAUACCGCAUACGACCUACGGGUGAAAGCAGGGGAUCUUCGGACCUUGCGCGAUUGAAUGAGCCGAUGUCGGAUUAGCUAGUUGGCGGGGUAAAGGCCCACCAAGGCGACGAUCCGUAGCUGGUCUGAGAGGAUGGUCAGCCACACUGGAAGUGAGACAGGGUCCAGAGUCCUACGGGAGGCAGCAGUGGGGAAUAUUAGACAAUGGGCGCAAGCCUGACCCAGCCAUACCGCGUGGGUGAAGAAGGCCUUCGGGUUGUAAAGCCCUUUUGUUGGGAAAGAAAAGCAGCAGGUUAAUACCCCGCUGUUCUGACGGUACCCAAAGAAUAAGCACCGGCUAACUUCGUG
rnacentral:rRNA from 1 species